GGGGGAGAAGUUUGCUUUCUUUGCAUCUCAGCCCUCCUGCAAAUGCUUUUCUCUUCCCGUCCUAUGGGGCAAAGCAUCUGCAAAGCGGCCCUUUGGUUUCUUUAUUUGCGUUUCUGGGGGGCAAAGAGGCUGCGAGGUGCAAAAAGUGAGCAAAGUUUGGUGCCAUUGCAAAGUGCAGGGUGCAAAAUGCAAGAAGUGAGCAAAGUUUGGUGCCAUUGCAAAGUGCAGAAAGCAAAGGGUGAGAAAACAAAGUUUGGUGCUAUUGCAGGAAGCAAAAAGUGAGCAAAGUUUGCUACUGCAAAGUGCAGGGUGCAAAAUGCAAGAAGUGAGCAAAGUUUGGUGGCAUUGCAAAGUGCAGAAUGCAAAGGCUGAGCAAAGUUUGGUGCCAUUGCAAAAUGCAAAUGGUGAGCAAAGCCUGAUGCAACUGCGAAAUGCAAAGGGGAAAAGUGAGCACAGCCUGGUGCUCGUGCAGAACGCGAAGAU